AAACCCCUGUGAACAUACCAAUUGUUGCCUCGGCGGAUCAGCCCGCUCCCGGUAAAACGGGACGGCCCGCCAGAGGACCCCUAAACUCUGUUUCUAUAUGUAACUUCUGAGUAAAACCAUAAAUAAAUCAAAACUUUCAACAACGGAUCUCUUGGUUCUGGCAUCGAUGAAGAACGCAGCAAAAUGCGAUAAGUAAUGUGAAUUGCAGAAUUCAGUGAAUCAUCGAAUCUUUGAACGCACAUUGCGCCCGCCAGUAUUCUGGCGGGCAUGCCUGUUCGAGCGUCAUUUCAACCCUCAAGCCCCCGGGUUUGGUGUUGGGGAUCGGCGAGCCCUCGCGGCAAGCCGGCCCCGAAAUCUAGUGGCGGUCUCGCUGCAGCUUCCAUUGCGUAGUAGUAAAACCCUCGCAACUGGUACGCGGCGCGGCCAAGCCGUUAAACCCCCAACUUCUGAAUGUUGACCUCGGAUCAGGUAGGAAUACCCGCUGAACUUAAGCAUAUCAAUAAG
rnacentral:rRNA from 1 species